GCAGAUUCUCGCACAGUGCCAUGGGAAAGCGUGGAAGAUAAUAGUCAGAUAGAACAGAGAGCACAACCUUUCAGAGUUCCACAGGAUUACAUUGAAGUUGCCACCCAAAGACAGGAGCAAAGAACUGAACCUUUCACAGUGGUACAGGAGAAUUUCCCUCAAGAAGGAGGUGAUGUCCACUCCUCCAAUGGACUAAC